AGUGAACGCUGGCGGUAGGCCUAACACAUGCAAGUCGAACGGCAGCACAGUAAGAGCUUGCUCUUACGGGUGGCGAGUGGCGGACGGGUGAGGAAUACAUCGGAAUCUACUUUUUCGUGGGGGAUAACGUAGGGAAACUUACGCUAAUACCGCAUACGACCUACGGGUGAAAGCAGGGGAUCUUCUGACCUUGCGCGAUUGAAUUAGCCGAUGUCGGAUUAGCUAGUUGGCGGGGUAAAGGCCCACCAAGGCGACGAUCCGUAGCUGGUCUGAGAGGAUGAUCAGCCACACGGGAACUGGGACACGGUCCAGACUCCUACGGGAGGCAGCAGUGGGGAAUAUUGGACAAUGGGCGCAAGCCUGAUCCAGCCAUACCGCGUGGGUGAAGAAGGCCUUCGGGUUGUAAAGACCUUUUGUUGGGAAAGAAAAGCAGCAGGUUAAUACCCCGCUGUUCUGACGGUACCCAAAGAAUAAGCACCGGCUAACUUCGUG
rnacentral:rRNA from 1 species